rnacentral:SRP_RNA from 1 species
UGAGAGGUUGGCGCGGGCAAGCUCCUCGCCAACUCGGUCAGAUCCGGAAGGAAGCAGCCGCAACGAGCCCCGCUUGGGUCGAUGUCAAUCUCUCACCA